AAUAUUGCACAAUGGAGGAAACUCUGAUGCAGCGACGCCGCGUGAACGAUGAAGGCUUUCGGGUCGUAAAGUUCUGUCCUCAGGGAAGAACCCUCAUGGUAGGGAAUGACCAUGAGCUGACGGUACCUGGGAAGGAAGCCCUGGCUAACUACGUGCCAGCAGCCGCGGUAAUACGUAGAGGGCAAGCGUUGUCCGGAAUCACUGGGCGUAAAGGGUACGUAGGCGGAUAUAUAAGUCAAAUGUGAAAGGCACCGGCUUAACCGGUGAGCUGCAUUUGAAACUGUAUAUCUUGAGUUCAGGAGAGGAGAGCGGAAUUCCUGGUGUAGCGGUGGAAUGCGUAGAUAUCAGGAAGAACACCAGUGGCGAAGGCGACUCUCUGGCCUGAAACUGACGCUCAGGUACGAAAGCUGGGGUAGCAAACG
rnacentral:rRNA from 1 species